rnacentral:lncRNA from 10 species
GGGAGGGGCCAUUAGUUGGGGGUGGGGCUAGGUGUGUCUGAGCUCUGACUCUCCUUGUGUGGGUCUUUCUGUGGCUGUUGUGGGGGAUAGGGGUGAGAUGCCCAGGUUAAUGGAGUUGUGUACAUAGGAGGAUUAUGCUGCCUCUGCUGAGUCAUGCAGGUUGUCAGGGAAGUGGGGGAAAGCCGGCAGUCAUAGGCCUCACCCAGCUCCCAUGCAAACCAAAGAGCAGUUCUCAUGGAGCCUGUUUCCAGGUGGUGGGCAAGAUGGGCUUGAAAACUUGCCUCAGGCUACCUGCCUCUCAACUAUGGAAAAAAAGGGCUUGGUUCUUCCCCUGCCUGUGGAGUCUGCACAACAGAUUUGUGCCCUCCCAUGAGUUCUGGCCAGGAGGCUUCUCGCCCUGUUCAAAUUGUUACAAAGUUCAACUAUAGAUUUCUUUCUUCCUGUGGAGUUUCAACACCUGCUCCUCUGGCCACCCUCACAAUGGAUCCCUGUGGUGCCAAGCAGGAAUGGCCUGUUUGGGCACCCAGUGAGCUCCCAGGGCCUUUCUACUGCUUCCUCAAACCCUGUAUUUUGCUCAGCUCUCUAAAUGGAUUCAACUCCAGAGAAGAGACCUGGAACCAAACCCAGAACUUCACUUCCCUGUGCCAGAAGGAUUCCAGUGAGCUUUUCCCACAGGCCCUACAGUCUUCUCCAGGUGAACCUCG